rnacentral:rRNA from 1 species
UACGGAGGAUGCGAGCGUUAUCCGGAUUUAUUGGGUUUAAAGGGUGCGUAGGUUGUUUUUUAAGUCAGCGGUGAAAGUUUGUGGCUCAACCAUAAAAUUGCCGUUGAAACUGGAAGACUUGAGUGUGUUUGAGGUAGGCGGAAUGCGUGGUGUAGCGGUGAAAUGCAUAGAUAUCACGCAGAACUCCGAUUGCGAAGGCAGCUUACCAAGCUACUUCUGACGUUGAGGCACGAAAGCGUGGGGAGCAAACAGG